rnacentral:lncRNA from 1 species
GAAAAAGCAGAAAGUGCCUAAUAAUUGGCUUCAAAUUGACAAAUGUAGCAAGUUCAGAUACAGUCGCCGAAUUCAGGAGGUGAAGGUGGACCCUGAAUCCCAGUUAGAAUUGUGACACAGAGACACUGGAUGAAAAAAGAAAAAAAGACCAAACAUCUAGAAAUACCUACAGUUCCUACACUUGAAAUGGGAUUGUUUUUAUAUUUUGUUUAUUUGCAUCUCUGUGUUGCCACUUUGUAACCAGAAAUCUUAUUGCUUGUCCUGGCGAAAUGAACCGUUGCUGUGUUUUGCCCUUGUUUAUUGUGUGCUAACGGUGACGCUGGGAGAAGCUCACCGAUGUGGUGAAUGCUGUCCCGCUGCACGUGUGAAACGGAGUAAAACACCGCGCGUAGCAAUCCCCGAAGGCUCUGCAUACCCCGGAAGUACCUGGGGACCUGAGGGCCCAAGGAGGAGGUCUGGGCAGGAGCGUCCUUCUGGGUGCACGGCAGCGCUGCCGCUCCUCGAGCUCCAGGUUCAUGCAGACCAUCAACAUGGCUUGUGGGUACAGAAGUCCAUGCUCGGUAAGYGGAAAGCAAACGCCUGCUCGGCAGCUGUGUGGAGAAGGAACCACUCCAAGUGGCAGUAGCCCCAUUUCUGAUGAUCGCAGGACAUCCGCAGAGGAAUGAGCUCAUGUGUCCCCUUCAGCAACGCCAAGCAGUGAAAUGGGAAGCCYUGAGGUGUGCAAAUUUCAAUAGCUUUUCUUCUCACUGAUUCUGUUUUUUUUUCUUAGAGCGAAGGGACGGGAAGGGUAGCUUAAAUUUUGUUGCCUGGGCUUGCAUCUAUUCUGGUCUUCUCAGCUUUUGAUUAAGAACCAGGUGACCUCAUUAUUCA